ACGAUUGUUGUCGCUGCCAUUACGUCUAGCGCCUGGCAGGUCUCAUAAUACGUCUUCCUUGUCCAUGGCCGAGGGGGAUACUUGGCGGUGAGGCCAGAGGUCAACAUUUCAACAAGAGUCACCCAGGGUGUGGGUGACCAGGGGUGAGCAGUGACCUGACCACCCUCCCCUUGCCACAGGAACCCAAGGAGUAUGGCUUGAUCCUGCCCAUCAAGAACAAGAACAAGGUUGAGGGAGAGCUAGGCACGCGGAAACUCAACACUCUGCUGGACUCAGAUGACGAGUUGGACCAGGAUGAAGAGUCCCCUCUUAACUGGGUGGAGGCAUCCCUCAAGCCGGGAACUCAGGUCAGCAGAGUCUACAGAAGCGGCUGCUGCGUGAAGCUCUGGAGGAGGACGCGUCAGUGUUCCAGCGUGACGAGGCGUACGACAGCAUGCAGGCCGCCAAGACGGGCCGCCGGGAAGCUAAGGACCCAGCCGCCAAGAAGAGUGUGAUCUUCAGAGAGAAUACAAGAGGCACAGAGCAGCAACACACACACACACACACACGCACGGAUUGCCUUGUGUUGAGAUGUCUGGAAGGGCAGCGUGUUGGCCGGCUCCUUGUGUCUUCCCAGCCAUGGAGUGCACAGACAUGAAUAAGCUCACAGGCCCCACAGGAUGUCCCCGACAGUAUUUUUACAAACCCCACAGACACAUGCCCCCCAGACACAUAUGUAAGACCCCUUCCCCCUUACUCUCUCCCUCUCUGAAGCGACACCACCCUUGGCAUAAAC